CAGCAGUUCUCCAGCAGGUUGUCCGUGGAUGUGCAGUCGUGUGGCGGCACUGCCACGAUGUCCGUGGUCCCGAGGAGGACGUGGCCCGUUGAUUUGAAGGACGCGUGGCUCCAGUUGUGAAUAUCCGAAGCUCUGGGAAAAAGGUCAUACUGAUGCAGCUUACUACUGCCACUGGGAAUGACGAGAACUGUGACUGUAUCCUGGAAGAUGUGAGCGUUUGCAGGAUGUGGCGCGAUAAACUCAGCCUUUGUGCCACCACUACUAGAACAACUGAGACUGUAGUGCUGAUAUUGCGAUUGCCUUUACUGCUGUUAUUGUACCAGGCGACCUGCACCGUGGCGUCGAUGAAGAGCUGGUGGUCCUUGAAAUGGCUGGCGUUUUGCUGGGCCUCCUGGAUGGUGGCAUUCGUCAGCACCCCGUUCAGAGAGUCACUCCACCACAUCGCCAUCUGUCGGAUAUUCUUGAUACGGAAAACGUACUUCCCCCGCCGAGCAGGGUCACCGGACCGCCGCAUGGAGACAGACACGAUGCCACCGAACGCCUCACCCACCAUAGCCUCCACAUUCAACUCAUAUUUACGUCGAAUACUCGCACACAAAAAAAGCAAUACAUUAUGGCUGUACCAGAUGGUCAGGAUCACAAAGGACGUGGUCGAUGAGGGAUCCGCCGCCUUCCCCACAAGAUUUUAAGUGGUACUCUGCUGCCAGUCCUGCGCCUGGAGGAGACAGCAUUUGGAAGACGAGAGAAGAAGCAGAAAGAGCAAGAAAACCCGUAAGUGAUACAAGUUUCUUAGAGCUUCCAUUACAAUGGGUACAGCUCAAAUCUACUUCAUCUACCCUUUCAACCCUGCCCCAGUGUCCUCAUAAUGGUUUAUACAAGUGUGUAAAGUUUGGCAGUUUGAUCAGAGGAGGGGUGGAUACAUUCACAGCACCUGUACUGUGAACUUGUCCUGUCUCUGAUCAAAACCUGACAAGCUGGAUCACACGUGGAUGCUGUAGUCAGUGGGGGGUCGAGGAGGGAAGGCCGGCCGUCUGGAAUGUGGCAAAA